rnacentral:lncRNA from 1 species
CAACAGUAACAUCCAAAUUAAAUCUUAUUUAAAAGAAAAUUUUUUGCCAUAAUAAUUAUUUGGUACUACGACAAUAACAUCAGAGGAGUAAUCGUUUCAAUAAAAAAUCAUCAUACUUUUUUAUUAGACAACUACUACAUAUUUGAGUCAGAAAAAGAUAAAUACGAGUUUGGAUGAUUCAUAGCUGAUAUGAUGGACUGAGCCUAUGCAAUAAAUUCUUUGUAAGGGGGAUAAAUUUGAUAGGGAUGGAAAUUGGGGGGUAAUGGUGUGUUUGGUUCCACGUAAAUUGUAGAAAAAAAAUUUUCUGUGGAAAAAAAAAUUUUCGUGGAAAAAAUGUUUUACGUUGUUUAUGUUUGGUUCGUAGGAAAAGAAAAAUAGUUUUCCGUUUGGUUGCAAAAAAAAUUAUAAUAAAAAUUAUUAUAUAUUUUUUUAUUUUAUAUAUUUUAUAUUAUUAAUAUAUAAUUAUUAUCAUAUUCUAUAUAUUAGUAUUAUAGUUUAUAUUUAUAAAUAAAAUAUAUUUAAAAAUAUAUUAUGCAAUAAUUAAAUAUAUAAUAGUAUAUAUUUAAUACUAUAAAAUAAAUUACUAUAUAUAAAAUAUUAUAUAAUAAAUAUAUUUAUAAAUAAAAUAUUAUUUUUUAAAUAUAUAUAUAUAUAUAUAUAUAUUAUCUAUAUUAUAUAUAAAAAAAAUAGAAGAUGGGGGAGAGAGAU